rnacentral:lncRNA from 1 species
GAAAAAGCAAAAUAAAACUUAUUUAUACAUGAACACACACCAGAAGGCAAUUUAUGGAAUUAAAAUUAGGAUAGUUGCUGCCCUUUUUCAAAUUCUGAAUUUAAUACUUGGUUCUAACACCUCUGUAGUCUUAAACGAAGAAACACAGUGAUGCCAUGUCCAUAGUUUAUUUAAUUCUCUUGCUGAUUUCUUUCCUUUUUUCUUUUCACGGUUGUACCUGUGCCAUAUGGAAGUUCCCUGGCCAUAGGUCGAAUCUGAGCUGCAGUUGCAGCCCCAGGCAUGGCCGCACCAGAUCUGAGCUGCAUCUGUGACCUACGCCACAGCUUGUGGCAAUGCUGGAUCCUUCGCCCACUGAGCAAGGCCAGGGAUCAAACCCACAUCCUUACAGAGACAAUGUCAUGUCCUUAACCUGCUGAGCCACAGUGGGAACUCCACUCUUGGUAAUUUCUGACUUUGCCAAAGUUAUCAACUCUGUGUUAAACAUUAGUAAAUAAUUUGUGUCAUCAUCUGCAGACCCUACCACUUGGCACAGUGUCUGGACUCUAUCAACAGCUGAAAAUCUGCCUCCGGAACCGAUGAGUGAUGGAUGUGAUAAAUAGCUGAGAAAACUGAGAUCCUCCCAUCUACGCCUCACCUCUAACAGUGGAAAUCAAGCAAUCAGUUUGGACUAAAAAGAACCCAUAUUAAAGCUGACAGCAUGUGAGGAAAUGCAAGAACGUGGAUGUUCUGAGGCUUUGGCCACUGAAAUAGUUGCUAAUUGUCUAAUGAUGUUUGCCCUCAAGAAGUGUUCAUUUAAUCGGGUCCUUCAUCAUUGGUCCAUAAGGGAUGGUUCUCCUGUUUGAAGUCUAUGUCUACAUUCUAUUUUUGAUCAUGAAAAGGAUGUAGAGAUACUGGAACGUAUUAGAAAAAUGUAAAAAAAAAAAAAAUAUAUAUAUAUCACAAUGACGAGCAUUUUAUUGAGGAAAGAUUGAGAUGACCAAAUCACAUCUCCUGGUGAUAUGUGGAAGGGAAGGAAUCCCCAGACAGAGAUGACGCUCCUCCGAGUCAGUGAGACAUUGAAGAACAAGGCAUUUGGGGGAGCGCAGCAGAGAAGGAGUCAAGAGGCAGCAAGGACAGCAAGAGAAGCCUGUGCUAAGAAGCAGAAUUUUGUCUUGAAAAGCCUCAAUCCAGGACUGCCCAUCUUUGACCUAUGCUGAAAUAUGAUCUAAAUCAUCAGAUUCUCCAGUCCUGUCUAGAAUCCAGGGAUGCAUCCCUGACUGCAGCCCACUGGUCCAAGCAACAUCGCCCUCAUGUCCCAGCCUGUUCUCCUGACGGUGCCAGCCCCCAUUACUGAUAACAGUAUGAGGGACCAAUUCCCUGCCUGAACCCCAGAGAUGAAUGUAACCCCUCUACGCACUAACAAUAAGGAGAAAACUAGGAGGGUCAAACAUCCAAAAUACAAACCAGGAAAGGUGCAGAGAAGUGAAAGUGGG